GAACUUUCUGGAUCACAGGAAUACCCGGCGCUGACAUUGGGCACCGUAGCUCACAGAAAUCUUUCAGGAUAUCACUUCACUUCAUGUUCGCUGCUUUUCAGGUUGACACAAGAGUUAUCUCCAUCUCUGUGUACGAAUAAGGAAACUCGGAGCUAAGCAGCUACCUAACUGGUCCAUGGUCACGUGACGGAACUGGAACCGCGGUGUUAGAACCUAGACCAGGCACUGCUCAGGGCACGCCCAUCUGAAGCUGUGUUGCUCUCCUCCUGUCUGCCUGAUUCUGCGCACAGGCUCUAGGCCAUCAGACUCUUAAGGUUUACUGAUGACGAGAAAAGCGAUAUGACAGGGAUACAUUAACUAAAUGGAACUCUCCUCCCCUCCUCCCUCCCCUUCUGCUGCUGCCCAAGAAUCAGACAUAGCCUGAUUAGAAGCAUAGACUAUGGUCUACUCAUCAACCCAAACUAGCUCAACUAUGAAUCAGCCAUCUUUGUUAAGGACAACGGGCUCACAGGCCACGUCCAGAACAUCACUUUUUUUUUGUAGUGGCUAUUUAAUAGAUUAAAACAUUGUUUUAAUUAGUCUCUGUCAAUGAUAUUAGAAGCUUACAAAAUAAGGCAAACAAUAAAAAUACAUCUCUUUGUUACUUGGGAAUGAAAUUGCUUCUAUCCUUCUACAGAUAAGAGAAUUAUCACAGGAAGGCAAUCUCCCAUCUCCACAAACAAUCUUUAUAGCGGUAUUUAAAUCAAAUUGCCUGGAAAUAAUCAUAUUUGAAGGAAGUAGAGAAAACUUCUUGAGGUAAGUCAUCUUGGGGGCGAUGUCUGUGACAUACAGCCAUGGAUUUUUGUGUCUUACGGUCUUCCUUGGCUUUAAUUUGCUAUUUUUUAAAAAGCAAAGUAACUAGUACAAAAAUGGCUCAGUUUUUUUUUUUUUUACAAUGACAUUCCUAUGAGAGACUGAAAGAAUUGUAGAUUAAUGUUGCCAUCCACUCCCAACAGCUCUGAGGAACAUUUUUAUUGGACAAUAAAGCUUUCUUCCUUGUGUUCUAUACGAUUCCUUUUUUUCUUCUUUCAGAAGAUACUGCCGUUUGUAUAAAGAGGAGAAAUACAAAUGCUUAUUAUCCAACAAAGCAAUUCUAGUAAAUUAAAUUCGUUCAAUUCACAUAAGGCAUAGAGGACCAAACACUUCAGGGAGUGGGAAGUUAAUAUUCAAACACAAUGCAUUUGAGACCUUUUGUAUACUGCCCAGGUCUAUCUUUGGAAAAAGAUGGCAGUAUUCCAGCCUGCAGAUUCUCUCCCAGUGUGUGGAUUCUGAUUGCCACAUCACCAGCUGUCGUUGGAAGUGGUUCUAAAAUUCACAUAGCUUUUCUCCUAUAGUCUGAGCUGACAGUCCCUGCUUCUAAUCUGAAGCAGACCAGAUAUUGCUAAUAAGACUAAUAACACAAAAACUCCUCUACACAAAAUCCAGGAGUGUUCAACUCCUGUAAGUGUAGAAAGAGGAGGUGGGCACAGGCCGCACCUAGGAUGCUCAUGCUGAUGGGUUAGCUAGCGGAAGCAUUCCAACCCCAACUCAGGAGCUGAAAAUACAGAGUCCUAAUUUGUCAGGUGCUUAAAAAUUGGCUCUGACUAAACACAGGAAGUUGGUGAGCUGAAUCCUUAAGAUCCAUUCCAGUUCCAAGUGAACGUGUACCUCGCUCGUCGUCGGCCUGAACUCUGCAUCUAAUCCAGCACUGGCCGGUAUCCAACCUUGUUCAUUUAAUAGUCAACAUUUGUCAAGGGCUCCCCAUGUACCGAGCCCUGCGUUAGGCAUGUGUUAGGGGACAGAUACAAAGAAGGCUCCUGCCUUUGAGGAAUGUGGAGAAGUAUUAGAUUCAAAGGGAGAAGUCUGAAGGCAGGCACAAGGGACUCUGUGUCUCCGUGUGUGGGGCUCACUGCUGAAGGCAGUGGCAGGCCGGCUCCUCUGAUGAAUGCAGAUGUAAACUCAAUCAUGUGCUAAUAUCUUCUGAAAGGUACCCACUGGUAAACUGACACCUCUGUGUGCCUUAGAAAAAGCAGCAGGGUACGAGGUUGAAGUACACACAACCUGUGUCCUGUUGUUCUUCAGAAACAAACUACCCGUCACCAUUUAUGGUAUCUGACACUCUCAUCAAGGUGUCAAAGAUCCCGUGCAGUAUUCCGGCUAUAGGAAGUGAAUCGUGCUACUGGCAGCAGUUAAUAGGACCAGACUUGAGGCACGGAGUCAGGAUGUGGCACGGAGUCACUUGAAGUAAGAAAAGAGUACAUGAACUGGCACUGGGAGCCAAGCAUGGCCUAUCCCAAGCUCAGAGCUCCUGCAAAUCCUCUCUUCAGAGAAUUCAUACUAUAGCAUCUCAUUGGAAUGGCUCUAAGCAUCAGUUACAUAAGCCCUGAAGGUAUGAGAGGCACACUCAUCUGCAAUGACUCCAGAGCAGGGCUUGAAGGAUGCGCUGGUUCUGAAAGAGUUCCCUGACUCUGUUUCUUCGUGUUUCAUUUUCAAAGAGCAGACUGUGGAGGAAAGCUGACGGUCAUGUGAGCUUUCUGGCUGCCCAGAUUCUCUCUGUGUGUGUUGGGGGGAGGGGUAGCAUUUUCCUGUAAUUAAACUGUAAGAACUAAUUG
rnacentral:lncRNA from 1 species